rnacentral:SRP_RNA from 1 species
GCUGGGCACGGUGGCUCAUGCCUGUAAUCCCAGCACUUUGGGAGGCAGAGGUGGGCGGAUCACCUGAGGUCAGGAGUUCAAGACCAGCCUGGCCAACAUGGUGAAACCCCAUCUCUA